AAAAAACUUAGAACCCUUUGUAUCUCUCACCCUCCCCACUUCUGGCAUGAGACUCCGGCAAUCGGCCACCGUCUAUCAGCUGGCCACUGGCGUAGCUUCGCUAUGAGCGGUGGUCGGGACCACGCCAAACCACCUUUUUUAACCCCCUUUUUUUAGAUCUGAAGGCGAAGCCUUCCUAAAACAAAAGAGAAGGAGCCUUGACCCCGUUGGUUCGAUUUCAACGCCGGAAAAGGGGCUGCCGACGACGAAACCGGAAGGUGGUUCAGGUGAACCUUUUCUUUUUUCUUUGUAUUUUUGUAUAUAAAAAAAUAAAUAGAAAUGAAUAAAUAGAAACCUAAGAAUAAGAUAAAACAGUAAUAAAAAAAAUGAAAAUCUCCUUUUGAAGUCUUUUUUUUUUUUUUCUUAUGUUCGUAAAGAAGGGAAGAACAUUACAAACAUCAGAUUAAGGCCUUUAUAGCCGAAAUACAAAAUUCGUUUUUUGUUUUCUUUUCUAUUGUUUGCUUGUGCUUCUUUGUUUUUUUCGUUGUCUUCUCUGCUUGCGUGUUGUUUGCUGUCUUGCAGGUGUCAGACGCGUGGAUGGCCGGUGAUAGGCGAGCCUCGAGCGGCGGCAGCGUGCGGCGCAGGUGGUUCUAACAUGCGGCGCUGGAGGCUUAGGGGGCUAGGGUUUUUUGUUGUGUUUAAGUGUUGGGCUGAUUGGGCUAGGGUUAGUUUUGGGUUAUUGGGUUUUAAUUUGUAUUUGGGCUGCUAAUUUGGGCUUGUUUUAUUUAUUUGGUUUGUUUUAUUUUAGAAUCUGGCCCAGGUCAAAAUUGGCCUAUUACAGUCAAUAUUUUGUAUCAAUCGAUUUGGGCCGGCGCGUACUAAUUAUUUACCGAAAUGGACUGAAAUACACUGAACUGGCCAAAGCACAUCGAAAUUUUAACUGGAACGGAACAUAGACUAAUUGAUACUGAUUUAGGACUGAAACGAUACGUGCCGAUUACCAUAUUGCAACUUUAUAUUCUUAGCUCAUAUAUUAUUGAAUUAUCAGCAAGAAAUCCACCUUUAGUAAUUAUUUAUUAUUUGUAAAAUAAAGAUAUGUAUUAGAAUAAACAUGCGAAUGAUGGAAAUUUUUAACCAAUAUUAUCAACCAACAACUCAUAAAUUAUAAUAUAAAACAGGAGUACAAAUAUUUGAUAUACACACCACAUAAAGAUAGCAUACAUGAUUUAUAUAUCUCGCAUUAAACAUGAGAG
rnacentral:lncRNA from 1 species